GUGCUCACUUUGGCAGCACAUAUACUAAAAUUGGAAUGAUACAGAAAUCAGCAUGGCUCUGCACAAGGAUAACACACAAAUUCAUGAAGCAUUACAUAUUUUU